CAGUCGCCACGGUAAGACGGAGGGUGCUAGCGUUGUUCGGAAUCACUGGGCGUAAAGCGUGCGUAGGCGGUUCGUUAAGUCUGUUGUGAAAGCCCCGGGCUCAACCUGGGAAUGGCAAUGGAUACUGGCGAGCUAGAGUGUGUCAGAGGAUGGUGGAAUUCCCGGUGUAGCGGUGAAAUGCGUAGAGAUCGGGAGGAACAUCAGUGGCGAAGGCGGCCAUCUGGGACAACACUGACGCUGAGGCACGAAAGCGUGGGGAGCAAACAGGAUUAGAGACCCCUGUAGUCCCUGUCUCUUAUAC
rnacentral:rRNA from 1 species